UGCAGGGUGAUGGAUCGGAGCCGGAGGAGGUCAGCAGCGUGGCCGCCGACGCUGUACCUAUCAUGCACCCCGAUCCAGUACCUUUGCUAACGCGUAGCCACCUUUAAUCGUAGGGUCUCGUCAUGACCUACGGUCUGACGUGACUUGAGCUCCCUAGCCGGCUAGUCGCUUGACUAGCCAGCCGGGGCACGGCCGGCUCGCCCCUAGC
rnacentral:lncRNA from 1 species